AACACUGUUAACCUGCGGUACCUGCGGAGGGAUCAUUAAAGAUUGACCGAAAGGUCUUAUCUCUAUAUCCCUCACCUCUGUGAACUGUGGACCUCCGGGUCUAUUUAACAAACAUCAGUGUAAUGAACGUAUAUAUCAUUAAACAAAACAAAACUUUCAGCAAUGGAUCU
rnacentral:misc_RNA from 1 species